GCAUCGAAGCUGACAUGGAAUGUGAUUUAAUGAAACGGUGAGCACGAGUGAGACAGACGAGACGAAAUUUGAAGUGCUUUGUAGGAAGAGGCCGAAACGGCGCGUUUUGAUUUUUUUACGAUGGCUCUUUGCCGUGCUUUAUCCAGCUCCUUCAACAAGCUCAACCUCCAUCUCAAUCUUGUCCAUCCUACAAUCAGCCACUCUCUCUACAACAAUGUUGCACGUCGAAGUCUCUCCUCCGUUAUGAUGAGGAUGCGCAUCAUAGAUCAAUGGAUGCACCAAUAAUAAGUGAUUUGAUUCAAUUUUGAAGCACUAUAUGGACAAGGGAAGGUAAAUCAAAAGCCUAUGAUAAAACGCAAGCUGAGCUCAUAGCAGUAAAAGAAAGUCUAACCAAAAUCUUGACAUCAAAGGAUUAAAAGCAACUUUAUUGGAGAUGGUUGAGCGGAAUGAACUCAAUAGAUCCUUACUGGCCCUUCUUGAUGAAAAUAUAGCAAAUGCACACAAGGGUAACCAGGUAAUAGCCAUUAGGGAACCCCCGGGCAGUCUAGUUUAAGUAGAAUUUUUUGUUGAGUUGUUUUGAAAUGUAUAGAAUGGGGAGGAGAACCCAGGAUCCUUCACAAGUAUACACAUUACUUUUCUAUGACAAUAAGUUGCACCAAGUUCAUGCAAUUAAGAAAUUUGUAGUAAAGUCUCUUGUGAAGUUACAGCCGCAAGCCAAAAUGGGAGAUGAUGUAUGAGACCACUCUCUCUCAUUGAACUGUUUGAAAUAAAUUACAAUGGCCCUCAAUUCUUUGUUC